rnacentral:rRNA from 1 species
UACGAAGGGUGCGAGCGUUAAUCGGAAUUACUGGGCGUAGAGCGUGCGCAGGCGGCUUUGCAAGACAGAUGUGAAAUCCCCGGGCUCAACCUGGGAACUGCAUUCGUGACUGCAAGGCUAGAGUACGGCAGAGGGGGAUGGAAUUCCGCGUGUAGCAGUGAAAUGCGUAGAUAUGCGGAGGAACACCAAUGGCGAAGGCAAUCCCCUGGGCCUGUACUGACGCUCAUGCACGAAAGCGUGGGGAGCAAACAGG